rnacentral:rRNA from 1 species
UAAUUGAAGAGUUUGAUCAUGGCUCAGAUUGAACGCUGGCGGCAGGCCUAACACAUGCAAGUCGAGCGGUAACAGGGGAAGCUUGCUUCUCGCUGACGAGCGGCGGACGGGUGAGUAAUGUAUGGGGAUCUGCCCGAUAGAGGGGGAUAACUACUGGAAACGGUAGCUAAUACCGCAUAAUCUCUCAGGAGCAAAGCAGGGGAACUUCGGUCCUUGCGCUAUCGGAUGAACCCAUAUGGGAUUAGCUAGUUGGUGAGGU